GUUGCUCAUGUAUUGAUAGUGUUCAGCACCAAGGACAGGCUUAGUUGCUCAUGUAUUGAUGGUGUUCAGCACCAAGGACAGGCUUAGUUGCUC
rfam:Branchiostoma floridae genomic scaffold BRAFLscaffold_267, whole genome shotgun sequence.